CCUACGGGGGGCUGCAGUGGGGAAUAUUGCGCAAUGGGCGAAAGCCUGACGCCGCGACGCCGCGUGGGUGAUGAAGGCCUUCGGGUUGUAAAGCCCUGUCGGGUGGAACGAACGAUCUGGCGGCGAAUAACCGCCGGGUGUGACGGUACCACCGAAGGAAGCCCCGGCUAACUACGUGCCAGCAGCCGCGGUAAGACGUAGGGGCGUGCGUUGUUCGGAUUUACUGGGCGUAACGAGGUAGGAGGCGGGUGAGAUCCCUCGGCUUAACCGAGGUCCCGCAUCCGAUACUGUCUGGCUCGAGUCUAGGAGAGGAAAGCGGAAUUCCCAGUGUAGCGGUGAAAUGCGUAGAUAUUGGGAGGAACACCGGUGGCGAAGGCGGCUUUCCGGACUAGUACUGACGCUGAGGCGCGAAAGCUAGGGGAGCGAACGGGAUUAGAUACCCGAGUAGUC
rnacentral:rRNA from 1 species